rnacentral:rRNA from 1 species
GAGCUUGCUCCACCGGAAAAAGAAGAGUGGCGAACGGGUGAGUAACACGUGGGUAACCUGCCCAUCAGAAGGGGAUAACACUUGGAAACAGGUGCUAAUACCGUAUAACAAUCGAAACCGCAUGGUUUUGAUUUGAAAGGCGCUUUCGGGUGUCGCUGAUGGAUGGACCCGCGGUGCAUUAGCUAGUUGGUGAGGUAACGGCUCACCAAGGCCACGAUGCAUAGCCGACCUGAGAGGGUGAUCGGCCACAUUGGGACUGAGACACGGCCCAAACUCCUACGGGAGGCAGCAGUAGGGAAUCUUCGGCAAUGGACGAAAGUCUGACCGAGCAACGCCGCGUGAGUGAAGAAGGUUUUCGGAUCGUAAAACUCUGUUGUUAGAGAAGAACAAGGAUGAGAGUAACUGUUCAUCCCUUGACGGUAUCUAACCAGAAAGCCACGGCUAACUACGUGCCAGCAGCCGCGGUAAUACGUAGGUGGCAAGCGUUGUCCGGAUUUAUUGGGCGUAAAGCGAGCGCAGGCGGUUUCUUAAGUCUGAUGUGAAAGCCCCCGGCUCAACCGGGGAGGGUCAUUGGAAACUGGGAGACUUGAGUGCAGAAGAGGAGAGUGGAAUUCCAUGUGUAGCGGUGAAAUGCGUAGAUAUAUGGAGGAACACCAGUGGCGAAGGCGGCUCUCUGGUCUGUAACUGACGCUGAGGCUCGAAAGCGUGGGGAGCAAACAGGAUUAGAUACCCUGGUAGUCCACGCCGUAAACGAUGAGUGCUAAGUGUUGGAGGGUUUCCGCCCUUCAGUGCUGCAGCUAACGCAUUAAGCACUCCGCCUGGGGAGUACGACCGCAAGGUUGAAACUCAAAGGAAUUGACGGGGGCCCGCACAAGCGGUGGAGCAUGUGGUUUAAUUCGAAGCAACGCGAAGAACCUUACCAGGUCUUGACAUCCUUUGACCACUCUAGAGAUAGAGCUUCCCCUUCGGGGGCAAAGUGACAGGUGGUGCAUGGUUGUCGUCAGCUCGUGUCGUGAGAUGUUGGGUUAAGUCCCGCAACGAGCGCAACCCUUAUUGUUAGUUGCCAUCAUUUAGUUGGGCACUCUAGCAAGACUGCCGGUGACAAACCGGAGGAAGGUGGGGAUGACGUCAAAUCAUCAUGCCCCUUAUGACCUGGGCUACACACGUGCUACAAUGGGAAGUACAACGAGUCGCGAAGUCGCGAGGCUAAGCUAAUCUCUUAAAGCUUCUCUCAGUUCGGAUUGUAGGCUGCAACUCGCCUACAUGAAGCCGGAAUCGCUAGUAAUCGCGGAUCAGCACGCCGCGGUGAAUACGUUCCCGGGCCUUGUACACACCGCCCGUCACACCACGAGAGUUUGUAACACCCGAAGUCGGUGAGGU